GACAGAGGGGGCAAGCGUUGCUCGGAAUUACUGGGCGUAAAGGGCGCGUAGGCGGCACUGUUAGUCAGGCGUGAAAUUCCUGGGCUCAACCUGGGGACUGCGCUUGAUACGGCAGAGCUUGAGGAUGGAAGAGGGUCGCGGAAUUCCCAGUGUAGAGGUGAAAUUCGUAGAUAUUGGGAAGAACACCGGUGGCGAAGGCGGCGACCUGGUCCAUUACUGACGCUGAGGCGCGACAGCGUGGGGAGCAAACAGG
rnacentral:rRNA from 1 species